UACGUAGGGUGCAAGCGUUGUCCGGAAUUACUGGGCGUAAAGAGCUCGUAGGCGGUUCGUCGCGUCGGCUGUGAAAUCCCGAGGCUCAACCUCGGGUCUGCAGUCGAUACGGGCGGACUGGAGUACUGCAGGGGAGACUGGAAUUCCUGGUGUAGCGGUGAAAUGCGCAGAUAUCAGGAGGAACACCGGUGGCGAAGGCGGGUCUCUGGGCAGUUACUGACGCUGAGGAGCGAAAGCGUGGGGAGCGAACAGG
rnacentral:rRNA from 1 species